rnacentral:rRNA from 1 species
UACGUAGGGUGCGAGCGUUAAUCGGAAUUACUGGGCGUAAAGCGUGCGCAGGCAGUUUUGUAAGUCUGUCGUGAAAGCCCCGGGCUCAACCUGGGAAUUGCGAUGGAGACUGCAAGGCUUGAAUCUGGCAGAGGGGGGUAGAAUUCCACGUGUAGCAGUGAAAUGCGUAGAGAUGUGGAGGAACACCGAUGGCGAAGGCAGCCCCCCUGGGUCAAGAUUGACGCUCAUGCACGAAAGCGUGGGGAGCAAACAGG